UACGUAGGGGGCAAGCGUUGUCCGGAAUCAUUGGGCGUAAAGAGCGUGUAGGCGGCUCGGUAAGUCCGCUGUGAAAGUCCAGGGCUCAACCCUGGAAUGCCGGUGGAAACUGUCGAGCUAGAGUCCGGAAGAGGCGAGUGGAAUUCCUGGUGUAGCGGUGAAAUGCGCAGAUAUCGGGAAGAACACCCGUGGCGAAGGCGGCUCUCUGGGACGGUACUGACGCUGAGACGCGAAAGCGUGGGGAGCGAACAGG
rnacentral:rRNA from 1 species